AUUGAACGCUGGCGGCAGGCCUAACACAUGCAAGUCGAACGAGCGGCGGACGGGUGAGUAAUGUAUGGGAAUCUGCCCGAUAGAGGGGGAUAACUACUGGAAACGGUGGCUAAUACCGCAUACUAUCGGAUGAACCCAGAUGGGAUUAGCUAGUAGGUGGGGUAACGGCUCACCUAGGCGACGAUCUCUAGCUGGUCUGAGAGGAUGAUCAGCCACACUGGAACUGAGACACGGCCCAGACUCCUACGGGAGGCAGCAGUUGGGAAUAUUGCACAAUGGGCGCAAGCCUGAUGCAGCCAUGCCGCGUGUAUGAAGAAGGCCUUCGGGUUGUAAAGUACUUUCAGCGGGGAGGCGUUACCCGCAGAAGAAGCACCGGCUAACUCCGUGCCAGCAGCCGCGGUAAUUC
rnacentral:rRNA from 1 species